rnacentral:rRNA from 1 species
GACGAACGCUGGCGGCGUGCUUAACACAUGCAAGUCGAACGGAAAGGCCCUGCUUUUGUGGGGUGCUCGAGUGGCGAACGGGUGAGUAACACGUGAGUAACCUGCCCUUGACUUUGGGAUAACUUCAGGAAACUGGGGCUAAUACCGGAUAGGAGCUCCUGCUGCAUGGUGGGGGUUGGAAAGUUUCGGCGGUUGGGGAUGGACUCGCGGCUUAUCAGCUUGUUGGUGGGGUAGUGGCUUACCAAGGCUUUGACGGGUAGCCGGCCUGAGAGGGUGACCGGCCACAUUGGGACUGAGAUACGGCCCAGACUCCUACGGGAGGCAGCAGUGGGGAAUAUUGCACAAUGGGCGGAAGCCUGAUGCAGCAACGCCGCGUGCGGGAUAACGGCCUUCGGGUUGUAAACCGCUUUCGCCUGUGACGAAGCGUGAGUGACGGUAAUGGGUAAAGAAGCACCGGCUAACUACGUGCCAGCAGCCGCGGUGAUACGUAGGGUGCGAGCGUUGUCCGGAUUUAUUGGGCGUAAAGGGCUCGUAGGUGGUUGAUCGCGUCGGAAGUGUAAUCUUGGGGCUUAACCCUGAGCGUGCUUUCGAUACGGGUUGACUUGAGGAAGGUAGGGGAGAAUGGAAUUCCUGGUGGAGCGGUGGAAUGCGCAGAUAUCAGGAGGAACACCAGUGGCGAAGGCGGUUCUCUGGGCCUUUCCUGACGCUGAGGAGCGAGAGCGUGGGGAGCGAACAGGCUUAGAUACCCUGGUAGUCCACGCUGUAAACGGUGGGUACUAGGUGUGGGGUCCAUUCCACGGGUUCCGUGCCGUAGCUAACGCUUUAAGUACCCCGCCUGGGGAGUACGGCCGCAAGGCGAAAACUCAAAGGAAUUGACGGGGCCCCGCACAAGCGGCGGAGCAUGCGGAUUAAUUCGAUGCAACGCGUAGAACCUUACCUGGGUUUGACAUGGAUCGGGAGUGCUCAGAGAUGGGUGUGCCUCUUUUGGGGUCGGUUCACAGGUGGUGCAUGGCUGUCGUCAGCUCGUGUCGUGAGAUGUUGGGUUAAGUCCCGCAACGAGCGCAACCCUUGUUCACUGUUGCCAGCACGUUAUGGUGGGGACUCAGUGGAGACCGCCGGGGUCAACUCGGAGGAAGGUGGGGAUGACGUCAAGUCAUCAUGCCCCUUAUGUCCAGGGCUUCACGCAUGCUACAAUGGCUGGUACAGAGAGUGGCGAGCCUGUGAGGGUGAGCGAAUCUCGGAAAGCCGGUCUCAGUUCGGAUUGGGGUCUGCAACUCGACCUCAUGAAGUCGGAGUCGCUAGUAAUCGCAGAUCAGCAACGCUGCGGUGAAUACGUUCCCGGG